GAGUUUGAUGUGUGUGUGGGCUUUGUAAGUGGAGGUGAGCUUUGGGCUCAGGAUUACAGAGGGAUAAGUGCUCAAACUACAGCCAGAAUCAGGCUCUACUCUCCAACUAAGGAAAGCAGUCAGGGUUGACUACAAUUUGAGCUUGGUUUGUGGCCUAGGAGGAAAGUACUACAGCAGAACACCCACCCGCUAGACUAAACUGAGGACCCUGCGUUCUCGAACUUGAAAAGGGAUCCAGGGGUCUGAGCAGACCACAGGCUAAGUUCAACACUGGUGCCCAUCAUUCUCAAGGUGUACACCGCCCCCCCCCCCCCCCGAGAGCACGAAUAAGAACACAAGUCAGGGCUGAAAGGGGACCGAAAAGAGUCGAGAGUAGGAGUCACCUGAUUUAACGUUCUUAAAUCACCGAGGUGUGUCCUUUUCUCUGAAGCUCUUCCUAACUCCCUGUUCCCUUCUCUGCAGGACCCCCGCCUCUUCACUGGCUAAUGAACACCGCUCAGCACUUUCACAGUUAUUAUCUCAUUGACUCCUGAGUGGUUUCCUCCAUCUGACAGGUGGGGAAACAGAGGCCCAAAGAGAUUAGGGUGUGUGGGGCUGAGCCCAGGCUUGCUCCUCCAGGCCUCUCUCUAGGCUCACCCCCUUCUUACUUAGAACAGCAUUCUACGACAUUCCAGGAUGCCGAGGCAGCCAGGGUUUGGGUGCAGAGUGGCCAGGCUGACUGAUGGCUCUUUCUGGCCACAGGGUGAGUGGGGAAGAGCUAGCCCUGGCCCAGGUAUGCUAUCUGUUCUCAGGAUCUGCUCAUUGGCUGCUGGGGGUAAUAGGAAUGACCUCAGUGGUGGGUUUUGAGGUUUUUUUGUUUGUUUUUUUCUUUUUCCUUCUAAGAACAAUUCAUUUGGUCACAUAAUUAGUAUAAAAGUGGCUGGUGUUGAGCAACCUCCCCCUCCCCCUUCCCUGGCCUCUGGCAGUGACAUUUGAGGCGCUGUCUCCUGGGGCCACAGAGGAUGCUGCCUGGGCAGUUCAAAGGGUUGGCUCUGCUCCCUGCCCAGCCCCACCCACUUCCCCUCACUGCCUCCCUCACUUGCCAAGCUUGGCCAGCCUCCCAUCGAGGACUGAGGUCCCGCCCCAGUGGCCUGAGUGGAGCCCCUUCUGCACCUCUCCACCUCACCCCUCUGCUGUCCAGCUCAGAUGACAGGGAGGGGCCAGAGUAGGACGGUGUGGGAAGAGGACUGAACCCUUCCCUUCUCAUCCCACCCGGCCACGCGUGUGUGGCCACCCCUGCCACUGCUCUGCCGACUCCAUGGCACCUUCCAUGUGCCACUGACCACGGGCAGCACUGAGAAGGGUGACAAGGAUAUGCCAGCCUUCAGGCUUGCAGUGCCGAGAAGGGGAAGACCAGGCAACGGUGAUGUCAACCAGGGAAUUAAGCAAGCAGAGGAGCCGAUAACAUCACCCUGCAAGGCUCGCUGUGGGCAAGGUGACUCAUCGAAGACGGGCCCCACAAGCACAGGGUGAUUGUUGUUGUGCCCAGCCUGUAGGACGAAGGAGGAAGAAGGGGGCCGGGACGGGUUCCUCACCGAGUCCUCCGCUCGGUGGAGAGGUCUCAGAACACAGUGUCCUCCGCCUUCAGAGCUCCCUGCUGGCUCAGGAAACAGCCCUCCCUCCUGCUGUGGUGAUAAUCUCUGUCCACAGCGUUUGGUGUGUGUUUGUGGGGUAUGUCUGGGUGAUUUCCCCACCCGCAUCCCACAGGGGUGCUCCAGGUACUAGAGAUUGCUAACAGCAGAAAGCUCGCUCCCCCUGGUUGGACGACCGUCUGUGGAGACAAUGCCACCGGAUGGCAGACUGCUAACCGCGACCACGUGGCAUCCUCAUGGUGGGUACAGCCUGUUCCUCCUGCUGCAGGCACCUGUCGAGCUGCCUCGACUCCUCGCUCCCUCAUCCCCUCCGGUCUGCUGAAGGGGCCAAAACUGUUGUGUUCUUCCCAUCCCCAGAGUCACCUUGUAUUGUCGUGCAAGUUGAGAGCUGAACAACUGGAGGGGACACCAUUUACUUUACAGUCUAUGUGCCAGACCUCAUAUCUGCGCAUGCUGGCCCUGCCCCUUCUCUUUCCUAAAUUACUUCUCACUCCCCACCCCCACCUAGAAUUAUCUAUUUGGUUUGCCCUUAGCAAGUUCAUCUUUACACUAAACUAUCCCCCCAUAAAGCAUAAGACUCUUCUUUUA